CACCGCGCGCCGCCCGCCGCCGUCGCGCGUUGCCCGCCCGCCGCCGCCGCAGCGUGCCGCCGGUCGCGCUCGCAGCCGCCCCGCUCGGCGCACCCACCUCGCUCGAGGUUGGGCGAGCGCGGAAGUAGAGUUCGGGACGGCGGAUCGGAAUCCAUCGACCGAUUCUCUCUUUCUCUCCUCUCCCUUGGAUUCCUGUAGGCGGUGGAUCAAUCUUGCCUUCGUGGUGGCGGCAGAACGAGCGCCGUGAGAUCAGGUGGACCUGCUUCUGAUUCCUCCUGGUGCUUGGGACGUUUUCGGCUAGAUUGAUUUACUAGCUACGUCCAAGCAGGCCACUGGAUUGAUUUCAUGAGGCUUACUAGCUACGUCCCAAUCAAGAUAGCUAGACUUACUAGCUACGUCCCAAGCAGGCCAAUCCAAUAUGUUGAUCAAUUUGAUUGUUCUGGCUGGAGGUCAGGAGGUCAGAAGUGCACUGCGGGAGCGUGUACUGCGACUAUUUCUGCACUGCCGAGGAAGGCUUGAUCUUUCCCACAGAAGCUCGCUUCGAGGUCUUGGUGUGGGGCUGCUGGGGAAGGGAAUGUCCUUCUACUUAGUGAAAGUCGUUGUUGC